rnacentral:rRNA from 1 species
AGCGCAGACGGUUAUUUAAGCAAGAUGUGAAAGCCCCGGGCUCAACCUGGGAACUGCGUUUUGAACUGGGUAACUAGAGUGUGUCAGAGGGGGGUAGAAUUCCACGUGUAGCAGUGAAAUGCGUAGAGAUGUGGAGGAAUACCGAUGGCGAAGGCAGCCCCCUGGGAUAACACUGACGUUCAUGCUCGAAAGUGUGGGUAGCAAACA